GUGGGGCACAGACGGUGAACGACCCCAGUCGGUGACCUGACCUCGCCCGAGGCUGUCCCGGGUCAGUCUGCUGCUGGCGGAGGAUCCAGGCGCAAACGGCCGCGAGUGCUGGUUUGUGCCGGGACGGCCGAACGGGAUGGGCGUGUGUGCACCUCUGACGUGUGGCAUCGGGAGGCUGUGUCACCUCUGGCUUUGUGAGCCCUUUGCGAGAGCUUCGCCGAGUGGGUGAGAUGGACAAAGAAGACCUUGCAAAGGAAGGAGGCGGCGCCGCCGACAAGAAGGAUGACGACAGCAAAGGCGUCAAGCUGCAGGCCAAGAUGAGCCUGCUCAAUGGAAUCACGGUCAUCGUGGGCUCCAUCAUCGGCUCUGGCAUCUUCAUCUCGCCGACUGGCGUACUGGAGAACACGGGCAGCAUCAACCUCUCUCUGGUCGUGUGGGUGGCCUCGGGCGUUUUCUCCAUGGUGGGCGCCUACUGCUAUGCCGAGCUCGGCUGCAUGAUCAACAAGUCAGGCGCCGACUACGCCUACAUCAUGGACACCUUCGGCCCCUUCCUGGCGUUCAUGCGACUCUGGGUGGAGUGCAUGAUCGUCCGACCGUGCUCGCAGACGGUCGUGGCUCUGACGUUCUCCGUCUACGCCCUGAAGCCGUUCUACCCGACCUGCGAGCCGCCGUACACCAGCGCUGCGCUCCUGGCUGCCGUCAGUAUCUGCGUGCUGACGUUCGUCAACUGCUACAGCGUGACAUGGGCUACGCGCGUGCAAGACAUCUUCACCUUCGCCAAGCUGUUGGCCCUGGUCAUCAUCAUCAUCACCGGCAUCUACAUGCUGGCGCUGGGAGAGACUGCUAACUUCACCUGGGACAAUACUCAGACGGAUGUCACCAAGAUCGCGUUAUCAUUCUAUUCAGGCUUAUUUGCAUAUAACGGCUGGAACUACCUGAACUUCAUCAUUGAAGAACUGAAGGACCCCGUCCGGAACCUGCCGCGUGCCAUCGCCAUCUCCAUCAUCCUGGUGACGCUGGUGUACGUGCUGACCAACAUCGCCUUCUACACCACCCUCAGCCCCAUGGAGGUGCUCUCCUCCAACGCUGUCGCCGUGAGUUUCGCUCAGGUGCACUACGGCUACAUGGCGUGGAUCAUUCCGAUGUUUGUGGCCAUGUCUACCUUCGGAGGCCUCAACGGUAUCCUGCUCACCAGCUCGAGAUUGUUCUAUGCCGGAGCUCGCGAGGGCCAGAUGCCAGAGAUUCUGACCAUGAUUCAGGUCAACCGGCUGACCCCGGCCCCCGCCGUCCUCUUCGUGGCUCUGCUGUCGCUCGUAUACCUGACGUCAUCUGAUAUUUUCGCCCUCAUCAACUACGUCGGUUUCGCGACAUGGCUGAGUAUUGGCGCUGGCGUGCUCUGUCUGCCCGUGCUGCGCUGGACGCAGCCCAACCUGGUCAGACCCAUCCGCGUCAACCUCUUCUGGCCCAUCAUCUACAUCAUCGCCACCAUCUUCAUCACCAUCAUGCCGAUGAUCGCCAAGCCCGUUGAGACCGGGUUCGGCCUCAUCAUCAUUUUGAGCGGCGUGCCCGUCUACCUAGUGUGCAUUGCGUGGAAGAAGAAGCCAGCAGUUAUCAACAAGUCAAUCGCGGCGGCCACGCGUCAGGUUCAGAAGCUAAUGAUGGUGGUCGGGGAGGAAUAGCAGACACACUGUUUGACCCGGUCAUCCGACCCGCGGCCGCGCGCUGGGGAGAGCCGCCCAUCGGUGAGCCUUCACUCGCCUCCUGCAAAAGGUCCUGGUUGUGCUUCCCGAGAACCAGUGAUAACAUGACACACACAUACACGUCUUCUCUCUCGUCGGCGGCCAUGUUUUCGGCGGCACGCGCUGCCGUCCUACGACGGUACCGGCAAGUUAAGCGCCCUCUAUACAAUCUGGUCGAGCACAUCAGAGACAUCUAGCGUCCAAGCGACGCCAUGGCUUAGCUAGUGUUAGCGGUCAGUGUUGAUGUCUUCCGGCGUGCGGGCUGUCAGUGUCUCCUCCCGGUAGCCGAUGACGUUGUGCUGGUAGUGGCCCAAGGUCGUUCGUCGAUAUGUCAUAUGUUAAUCUGUGCCGUUGACAGGUAGUUCACCAUGUCGGUGGCCUGUACGCGGAGAUUGCGCAGUCAAAAAUGGCUAAAUUCUAGGACUGCGCUCUCUGUGGAGUGAACUUUAGCCAAUGUUGGUGUGUGUCGCGGCGUAUGCAUGGUUAGUUGGGUAGGUGGCGCUCUUGUCGUUGCCGUGACGGCUGUGCCAUGGGAGGGGCACCAGCGGUACGGUCCGAGGCCCCACCGGUUAGACAAGUUACGUGGGAGACGAAACGAAUCUCCUUAGGGUGAUUGAUAUGCUGUCAAUGGGGAGUUCAGUGAGCCAUGACAAUGUGCGUAUUUGGAAGGUCAGUUCCAAUGUGAGUGAAUGCAUGUAAUGCAUGUUGGAUGCGAUGAAUCAGUCGAUUCGAAGCGCUAACGAGCCGUGACCGUGUCUCUUCUAUUCAUUUUCACGCAGGACAUGAACGCAUAUCAUUUUCACACUCUUCGGUUGCAUUUUCUAAGUUAUAGAACACCAGAUCUGAACUAAAUCAAACAGCUUGCAUGUGCCUGCCACUAUACCACAACUCAGGGUUUCAGUGCUACUCCACUGCAGUUUGGCAACAGAGACAAUUGCAUAUAGACAGAUAUCAACAAUUCCACCAUGCUUGGUGAAACACUCGUGACAUUCAAAUCAAUUCUAACAAAGUAAUGCUUGUUUCUGCCAGGGACGAGUUGGAAAGCAAUAACGUUUUCGACGAUGCGAAAGCUGUUCUGCAUGUCUGGUUCAUCUGGAUGGUUUACCCUAACGCUUAUUCGGUAUUCGAUAAAAAUAAGGACGAGUUAAAAUAGAGAAACAUCUGUCUUUAUCCAAUGAAAGUUAUCGUCAUGUCUUCAGGACCAUGGGUGCAUUGCAUAUGAUAAUGGAAUGACCGUUCAUUGUUUUGAGGGUUUGUGUGAUUGCUGAGUGAAGUCGUUAAAAGUUAAGUCAUUAUUUACUCAUUUUGUAAAGACAGUACGAAUACCAAGGGAUGGGAAUGUGAGAAACGAUUCAUCCAGCAGUAUUGAAAGAGUUGCCGGGGUGUUGUUUGACUGAUCUUUGAUGUAGCAUCUGCUCGAAAGUCGAAUGUGCAUCAUUUUUACCAAAAUAUUGAAACUAAAAGCAUCCUUAUUUUACCAGAAAGUGGCUUAUUCUCACUGAAAUGUGAUGACGAUCAUACACUGAGAAAACGUUCACUAUUUUGUACCGAUAUUUUAGGACACCAAACCCAAAGUACCAACACCAGCACCGGGCAACAGCACCGAGCAACAGCACCAGUAGCAGCAGCAACACCAACACACGCACCAAAUCCCUGCACCACCGUCAGUCUUCACCGACAGCACUGCAGCAGUCGCGAGCACGCGCCACCUAGCCUGCACAGGGCGAUAGUCUGCACAUGUAGAAUGCGGUGAAAUGUGACGAUGUGUGUGACGAUGUGGACGAUGGCGAUGUAUGCUCUGGCCCCCCGUGAAUUUCAAUGUAACAUCUGCAGUUUGUGAGACCUUAUGGGUACUUGUCUUACCCAGGGAACAAAUGAUGUCGCGGUCGGCAGUCUAUGCCUACAUUUGUGAACUUUUUUUGCAACCGUAAUCGUAGGUAACGGCUGCCUAUGGAUUCAGCUCAUUCUGUAACAGGAAGGAAAGUUCGACAAGUUCGGUACUCGGUACGUUAAUCACGAUUAUCGAAUUGUUGUUCCAAAUCGGUCUUUUCACCGGAUACUGCUUAUCUUGUGUCGGUGCAAACAUGAUCCAGUGCUCACGAUCGCCCUAAAAUGCUGCAUAUCCGACAACGACUUAUCCCUCCGAUUUGUAACCGAGGAAGUGUGCAGCAUUUACGCUGACGUCUCAGCUGCGCAGCCAUGACGAAGUGUCGGGAGUAUAAGCGUGUGUGUGAGAGUCCAUGGGCCGGCAGACACCGAGGCGGCGCGGUGGACCCCAUUCUGGUGUCGUAUCCGCGUCCCACGGGGUGUCUGAUGGUGUGACGUCAGAGCGUCACUGUCGGGAUCGAGUGUGAUGUCGGGGUGACGUCAUUGUAUGUCGUCGCGCGGCUGUACCCGGUUCUGUGUCGCCUUUGCCCUUGUUUCCGUUUGCACGAGUGUCUAGUGCCCGCGCUGCGAAUACAUUUUGUUGAGCAGA